CAGCACAAUGAAGAGAGGAGGAGAUUCUAGUCCCUUUUAACCUCUCCAGUGCAAGCUGCUGGCUUUUAGCCAUUCCGAGAGUUCCUCCCUCUAGUGAGAGUAUAGAGCAGUGCUGAGGUCAGAGAAUGCUCAGUGUUCUUUGUAGGUAUGGAAGAUUUAUCCCAAAGAGUGUGAGUACAGGUGCAGCCCCAGUGGAGCUGCACCAGAGGCAUUAGUGAGAGAAGUUUGAGGGAAAGGAAGCAAAGAGCUGGUUGCCCUAUGGUUUCAAGGAGACAACAGGCUGCUUUAGAGAUUCCCUGCUGUGUGAAAGACACUUCCAAAAGCAGCACUUCUUACAGCAGUGACUGACAGGUGACACUGCUCCGACAGGUGCAGCUCUGCACAGUGGGUUGGCGAGUUGUCAAUUGCUAGUGACAGACACAAAGAGAGAGAAGACCAAACCCCCAGAAUAUUACAAAGAUACUUAUAUGGAGUACUGUGUGAUGGGAGUGUGCUGGUUCAGCUUAGGGUGACUCCUUGCCUCUUCCCCUGGAAUUCUGGUAGUUAUAUCCAUCAGUUAUACAUUCUGGGUCAGACUUUCUUCCCCCACCAGGGGAACCCUGUUGUCUUCAGUGGAGUAUUUGCACCUGACACCAGUGUUUUCUGGAUUUGUACAUACUCAAGAUAGUGGAAAUCAGCCAUGAACUAUAGGACUUCCUGUUAUCCUGAAAGGCGGGGGCUGGCCAGAGGGCCUAGCCAUGAGAAGAGGUGGACUACCAUUGGACUGGAGCAACUAUUGGCAGGGGGCACUAGAAAGGAGAGAACCUUCUAUGCCACACCCAGAUGCAAGGGGGCGCUCUAGCAGUAUGGAAGAUACUUUUUGAUACUUGGUUAAAAGCUUACACAACAUUUCUGCUUAUAGCAUUGCUGCUCCUUGUCCCUGCAGCCCAGAGAACAACAGACACGGGAUGGAAGAGAACAUACAUGAGAACACCUAAAGAUGCAACCGCAGAAGGGAGAAGGACAGCGGAGGGUCAUUGAGUUCUGAAAACAAAGUUUUGCUAUAUUUUGCUAUUUGUGAUGGUCCAAAUCAAAGUUAAUGAGGAUUACUUGCCAAGGAUCUCAACAUAGUUAACAGGAUGAUCAUACUGGAAAUGGCUCGCCAC